rfam:Camelus ferus unplaced genomic scaffold scaffold2210, whole genome shotgun sequence.
GAGGGAAUAGCUCAGUGGUAGAGUGUGUGCUUGGUAUGCAUGAGGUUCUGGGUUCAAUCCCCAGUACCUCCA